rnacentral:lncRNA from 1 species
UUCACUGGCUUUUAGCAUAUUUGCAUAAUUGUAUAUCUAUCACCACAGUCAGUUUUAGAACAUUUUCAUCACCCUAAGAAGAAACUCCUUAGCUCAGGGGUCCCCAACUCCUGGGCCACAGACUCUGUAAUCCCAGUACUUUGGGAGGCCGAGGUGGGUGGAUCACGUGAGGUCAGGAGUUCAAGACCAGUCUGACCAAUAUGGUGAAACCCCAUCUCUACUAAAAAUAUGAAAAAAUUAGCUGGGCAUAGUGGCGUGUGCCUGUACUGCCAGCUACUUGGGUGGCUGAGACAGGAAAAUUGCUUGAACCCAGGAGGUGGAGGUUGCAGUGAGCCAAGACUGCGCCACUGCACUCUAGCCUGGGCAACAGAUCAAGACUCCAUCUCAAAAACAAAAACAAAAACAAAUUACAUAUGACUUACAUAAUUACUGUCAUCUAUAUUACUAUAUACUACAGUACUGCUGGACAGUGCUGUGACUAGAUUAAUUCCACAAGGAAAAGAGCCAUAGGAAUAUUGCU